AGUCCUUAGUGUGUAUUGUUUGCAGUACUCAGUACAAAAUAUUCUAGAUGUGCCAGGAUCGUGGCCAAAGUCAUGCCUAGGCUGUGAAGCUCCUACAGCAAAACAACUCUGUAGAUAACACAAAACAGCUCUGUAGAUAACACAAAACAACUCUAUAGAUAACACAAAACAACUCUAUACAUAACACAAAACAACUCUAUAGAUAACACAAAACAAUCUUGGUUUCCUACAAUGAUCUCUUCAAAGUCAAAUACUUGUAGAAGAUAACUAUUUCAUUCAAAUGUUUACCCUAGAUACAAUUAGUCUACUAGAUUUCCUUCUAUGCAUGGAGCCACAGAAUUCCUUUAGAAAGAGGCUUAGAAGCUGGGCAUUCCCCUGGGAUUUCAGCACUUGGCAGGCUGAGUGGGAAGACUGGAAGUGUGAGGUUUGCCAGAGUUCACACUGAGAUACUGUAACAAGAAGCAGGUGGCUGAAAUUGGUCCAUGGAUGUUGAAUGUACAGAAUGAGCUUGGGUAGUAUUAUUUUACAUUGAGGACAUCUGCUAGUGGAUUGUGUCUGCAGGUAGCAGAGCCUGGUUGUGAUCCUCACUUCAGACCCGAGUUCAGCAUGUCUGAGAAGGCAAUCUAGUCAUGGAAGAUGCUCAGGUCUACUGGGAUAUGGGUACCAGGACUCUAGGGUCUACUGUUUUGUGGCUUUGUUGGAGCCUAUGUCCUUAUAACUGCCUGUCUGGGACCCAUUGGGUGGGUACUGUUCUCUUCAUUCUUGCUUUUUUUUUUCCUGGAUUCCAUCCUGUGAAGCACAUCCCUCCUCCUCUAGGACAUUUCCUCAUUUUUGGUACCUGCUGCCCCACCCAAAUGGCUUUCUACUUGGCAGCAGUGAGCCAGCCCUGCAUUAGGGAGUAUGCCACUUGCUACGUUGCUCCUGCUGUAGGAUAAAGCUUUUUGUGGCCAGCCAUCUGGUAAUUCAUUCAACAAGGAUUGAGGCCAGGGGAGUUGCCAUGUAGGGGAGAAGAGAAAGGGGAUGCCCACAGAGAGAGGAGGAGGAGGAGGAGAGGGAGAGAGGGGCAGAGAGGGGAGGGGGGAGCUCAGCUGGGGGCAUGAUUGGGGGCAGGGUAUGCCAGGUAGGGACUGAGGGAUGCUGGGAGAGCCUGGAGGCCAGAUCUGCACUAAUAUGUAAAAUAUGCACAUCCAUCCCUUGUCCAGGUCCAAAAUUUAUAUAUUGUACUUGAGGUGUAAGAGGCACUUGAGGUUUCUGUCGCCGACAAAGGGGAGAUGUGGAAGCUUCUUUUUCCUCCUAUAGCCACGUAGGCAUUACUAAUCAAUCAGGAUAUCUUUCCCAGAAUCACUAUUUAAGCUUGCGAAUAUUUCUUAGCACAGUGUUCUAGGUGAUUGCUUUCAGUUGCUGAGAACAGUAGCUUCUAGCAAAGCUAGAUCUUUUAGCAAAGACCAGGCUCAGUCACUCUAUUGACCUCUACCAUUGGUAUUUUGGUCUCUCUGAUUCUAAUAGUGUGACUCCAGACAUCCACUCUUUGCAACAGUGUUUCUCAUGCAAAUAUGGCCAUGUAGAUUCUCUACUUAAAGCUCUUUAGCGACCUCCUGUUGCUUUCCAAAUAGAAUCCAGACUCAAUACCAGGACUUACAACACUGUGCCUGACUUGGCCCCUGCUCAUAUUAUCAGCCCUAUCUAUGUCUCUUUUCUGUCCUUGUUUUCCUGUUUCUUUGCUUGUGUCACCUCAUUUUCAUUCUGGGAGCAUCCCAUAUUUUUCCCACCCUAGCCCUGAACAGUCCUAAGCCUUGUCUCUCAAUCACUCUUGGGAGAGAGCUAGGAGCAUAGAAAAUUGAUCUGGAGUUGGAGAGAUGUUAGCUGGAAAAAUGCUUGUGUUUCAGACACAGAUCUAAGUUCAAUCUCUAGCACCCACAAUAAAACAAGACCAAACAACCAAACAACCAGGAUUGGCUUAUCAGUUAAGAGUACUUAUUGAUCUGCCUGAGGCUAUGGGGAGAGGGACUUCUUUUCAACACCUGGCCUGCUGUGUAAGUUACAUCAGUGAAUCCUCAGGUGUACCAUGUUCUUCCUCAUCUACAGGUGCUUACCUCUGCCUAAACUAGCUCCUCCUCUUACUUCUAGGCUGAGCUUGGCUGUGUCACCUCCUCACAGAGCCCUUUCCUGGCCUUCCCAUGGUAGUUGCUUCUGACAGUUCCUUCCAGAAUCUUACUUGAGUUCUCUGUAGCACCUGUCAUAAUGAUACGGAAAUCCUUGGUGUCUUUGGGAGCAAAGGAACCUUUGAGUUCUUCAGUGCUUAGCUUGAGAGGUUAGGAUCCUGGAAAGCCAAUGGGCAUCAAAUCCAACUAGAAUUUGAGGCUUUCGGUUUCAUGCCUCUCAGGUUCAAAGAAUGAAAUUCGUGGACCACUGAGGGAAACAGAAGGAAACCCAGCUUCUAUCCAUGGUGAAACCAGAGACAUUUCUGCUAUUUCUGGCCUCUGCUCAGGAUGAGUUCUGGACAUUUUGAAGGGCAUUUCCAGCUUUUAGCCAACAAAGAGGCUGGUCAUCUUUCUUUACUCUAAGCUGCCAAUUUCUGCCCCCUGUUCUCGUUGCUAAUCUGCAGUUAUUUAAUUUAUUCUUUGACUGGUUUUCAGGCUCUUAGUCUCUGAGCUCCAUGGUGGCAGGAUUCUUAUUUAUGUAAUUGGUAUCCACAUGCAAAGUACCCAAGCUGUGCCUUGCACACAGUGCGCACAGCAUAGCAUGUGUGGUUUGCCUUGCACACAGUGCACAUAGCAUAGCAUGUGUGGUGUGCCUUGCACACAGUGUGCAUAGCAUAGCAUGUGUGGUUUGCCUUGCACACAGUGUGCACAGCCAUGUGUGGUUUGCCUUGCACACAGUGUGCACAGCAUGUGUGGUUUGGCUGUAUGCUGAUCACUUAGGAUAUAAAUGGGAAGUAUAGGGAAGAGGCCUGAUUUGGACCUGAGAACACAUUGCCUGUGUCCAUGUUACACAUGGAAAUGCAUGUAUCCACAGGAAAGCCAAGAAGAGUUUGGUGUCCCAGGGUCAGUGUCAUGGGAUCCAGAGCGAAUUUGCCAGUGCACAGAUGUGCUACAUCAAAUGCAUCAUACGACCCUGAGAUAAAUGUUCUUCAUACCACUUAAACCCCCAGAAAUUCCCUUUGAGAAAGGGUGUCCUUUCAGACUGUUCUAUGACCUUUCAUGGAUUAAAGUAUGUUUUGUAUUCUUAGUGACCUUUUGCCAUGGGAAUUUAGCAACCUGUGAAGUAAGGAGUGGUACUCAUACCAUUCCCAAAGGUAGUGCUUAUGGUCAGAUUCAGAGGGGUGUCCUGUGCUGGUCAGAAGGUCCUCUCUGCAUCUGUCUUCACUGGAGGUAUGGCUGAGAUCUCGGGUAGCUCCAAGCCUACUUCAUAGAGGCCUUGUUGGCUCCAUGGGACAGCUCAGGCAAUGCUUAACUUUUUUCUAGGACAGUGUCCAACCAACUUUGUGUAAAAGGGACACAUAGCAGGUGGUUUUUACUUAGUUGGCCAGGCAGCUCUCUGUCACAGUUUCUAAACUCUGUUGUUAAAGGGCCACAGCAUUAUGUUAACAAGUAAGUGUAGCUGUGUGCCAAGAAAAUUUUAUCAACAAAAACUAGGAUCAGCCCAAAUUUUGCCCAAAGUCUGUAGUUUAUAUACUCCUGUUGAAGGUUUUUAGAUUAAAAUGAAAACAAAAAUGGUGUAAGCGUGAGAUUGCUUCCAUCACUGUCCAUCUUUCCAAUGUGUACUGCAAACGAUGGCUUUUUAAAUGGUCAAAAGCUGCUGUAGAGCCUGAGAAGCAAUGUUAGUUUUGGCUUCCUGUUUAGGCAAAGUCAAAAUGUGAUUUA